GCAUUAAUGGGGUAGUGGUAACCUGGGUCGUUGCCAUUGGUGAUAAUUCUCGACCCGCCGGGGGUUCGAUUCCCUCUUAAUGCA
rnacentral:tRNA from 1 species